ensembl:ncRNA F43D2.9 ncRNA
CGCUUCCAAUUACCCUUUUUAGUCGCCCUUGUGGUCUCUCCCAGUGCACUACUGCACAUUCUACCGGAAACCGCCGACAACUUUUCACUUUUCACC